rnacentral:rRNA from 1 species
CCUACGGGUGGCAGCAGUGAGGAAUAUUGGUCAAUGGGCGCGAGCCUGAACCAGCCAAGUAGCGUGAAGGAUGACUGCCCUACGGGUUGUAAACUUCUUUUAUAAAGGAAUAAAGUGAGGCACGUGUGCCUUUUUGUAUGUACUUUAUGAAUAAGGAUCGGCUAACUCCGUGCCAGCAGCCGCGGUAAUACGGAGGAUUCGAGCGUUUUCCGGAUUUAUUGGGGUCAAAGGGAGCGUAGAUGGGUUGUUAAGUCAGUUGUGAAAGUAGGCGGCUCAACCGUAAAAUUGCAGUUGAUACUGGCGGCCUUGAGUGCAGUAGAGGUAGGCGGAAUUCGUGGUGUAGCGGUGAAAUGCGUAGAUAUCACGAAGAACUCCGAUUGCGAAGGCAGCCUACUAGACUGCCACUGACGUUGAUGCUCGAAAGCGUGGGUAUCAAACAGGAUUAGAUACCCGAGUAGUC